CAACGUUAUAAAAUAACGUAUAAUUAAGCAAUUUAAACGGAACUAGUUCUGAUUUGAUAUAACUUUAUAGGCAGUGUUGCCAAAACUUUUCUAAUGGAACACCGUAGUUUGCUUUAUCGUUUCGAACAGCUCUCAUCACUCUUGAUUAAUCGCCCAAGUUUUGUAACGAGGUCACUCAGCACUCUCAAAAUAACCAUAUCUCUCUAAUAAUUAACAGUGAUUCUAUAAAAUUUGAAUGUCCCGAAAUGUUUCCAUUUCGAUAUAUAUUAUGACAUAAUAAAUAUAUAUAACCAAUUUUUUGUAAUGACUUAAAAACGACGAAACUUAUUGUUAUUAGCCACAUGUGUAGCUGAUGCAACACGGCAUUCAGCUAUUACAGCUUGUCUUCGAAUCACAUUCCAUUGAAGUCGGAUGGAUGGCAAAUCAUAAAGCUGUAGCUCACCACCCUGGAAAAUACCGAUUCAAUUCUGAUUCCCACACACCCAGUUUUUCAGGAAGGGUCAGGGGCCCGCGUUUUCGACCUCUCCUUCAACCAUCCGGUUUGCUAAGUUAUGGGAGACUAUCACAGGCUAGCCAACGCCAGCCUGUUAUGGGCCACCAUAUUUCUCUCUUGGGAUAUGGCGGCUUAACCUACCUAAUCUAAUCUAUCCACUAAAUCAAUUCUAUUCUAUUAUGAUCCUAACCACGUUAAUAUUCCUACUUUUCAGGUCGGUAUUGUCAUUUAUCCAUCUUCUACAGAAUAAAUUUAACAAUAGAUUUACUGGAUUCUCUUUUUCAAACAAUGGAAAACUUAUACAGUAUUUUAGACAAGUUGUCUAAAAUACUGUACAAGUUUUCUGUCUCUUCUCUCCUUUAUUUUUUAACUUCACCAAAUUUUUCUGAAUCAGAAAUAAUGUCAGCAUCCAUUUUUUAAUCCCGU
rnacentral:lncRNA from 1 species